rnacentral:rRNA from 1 species
CAGCCGCCACGGGAACACGAAGGGUGCAAGCGUUACUCGGAAUUACUGGGCGUAAAGCGUGUGUAGGUGGUUGUUUAAGUCUGUCGUGAAAGCCCUGGGCUCAACCUGGGAAUUGCGAUGGAUACUGGGCGACUAGAGUGCGGUAGAGGAUAGUGGAAUUUCCGGUGUAGCAGUGAAAUGCGUAGAGAUCGGAAGGAACAUCUGUGGCGAAGGCGACUAUCUGGGCCAACACUGACACUGAGACACGAAAGCGUGGGGAGCAAACAGGAUUAGAUACCCGCGUAGUCCCUGUCUCUUAUAC